CCUACGGGGCGCAGCAGUGAGGAAUAUUGGUCAAUGGACGGAAGUCUGAACCAGCCAUGCCGCGUGCAGGAAGACGGCUCUAUGAGUUGUAAACUGCUUUUGUACGAGGGUAAACUCAGAUACGCGUAUCUGUCUGCAAGUAUCGUACGAAUAAGGAUCGGCUAACUCCGUGCCAGCAGCCGCGGUAAUACGGAGGAUUCAAGCGUUAUCCGGAUUUAUUGGGUUUAAAGGGUGUGUAGGCGGUCGGAUAAGUUAGAGGUGAAAUCCCGAGGCUCAACUUCGGAAUUGCCUCUGAUACUGUUCGGCUAGAGAGUAGUUGCGGUAGGCGGAAUGUAUGGUGUAGCGGUGAAAUGCUUAGAGAUCAUACAGAACACCGAUUGCGAAGGCAGCUUACCAAGCUACUUCUGACGUUGAGGCACGAAAGCGUGGGGAGCAAACAGGAUUAGAUACCCGGGUAGUC
rnacentral:rRNA from 1 species